UACGAAGGGGGCUAGCGUUGCUCGGAAUCACUGGGCGUAAAGCGCACGUAGGCGGCUUUUUAUGUCAGGGGUGAAAUCCUGGAGCUCAACUCCAGAACUGCCUUUGAUACUGAGAAGCUGAGUUCGGGAGAGGUGAGUGGAACUGCGAGUGUAGAGGUGAAAUUCGUAGAUAUUGGGAAGAACACCAGUGGCGAAGGCGGCUCACUGGUCCGAUACUGACGCUGAGGUGCGAAAGCGUGGGGAGCAAACAGG
rnacentral:rRNA from 1 species